CGCCAGAGUCCAAGGAGAAAACGGCAUUCUCCACCCCCACCACCUGGGAGGAGCAUGUGCGGCAGGUGGGCGCAGUGCUGGAGCGGGCGGGGCUCACCGCCAACCCGGGGAAGUGCAGAGUUGGACGGGUGGAGGUACGGUAUUUGGGGUACCACUUGGGGGGCGGGCAGGUGCGCCCUCAGGUGGACAAGACUGCAGCCAUCGCGGCCUGCCCGCGGCCCAAGACAAAAAAAGAGGUGAGGCGGUUCUUGGGGCUGGCGGGGUAUUACAGGCAGUUCAUCCCCGGCUUCGCGGACCUCACCAGCCCCUUGACCGACCUCACCCUCACCCAGAUCCGGUCCAGUGGUCGGAGCAGUGCCAGCAGGCGUUUGAGAAGGUAAAACAGACUCUCUGUGGGGAACCACUCCUCCAUACUCCUAACUUCUCUCUCCCCUUUAUUCUGCAGACCGACUCGUCGAACAGGGGGCCGUUUUGUCCCAGGAGGUGGGGGGGGGGGGUUGACCGCCCCGUUGUGUACAUCAGCCGGAAGCUGUCCGAGGAGGAGGCCCGGUACAGCACGGUGGAAAAGGAGUGCCUGGCCAUCCGGUGGGCGGUCGACUCCCUACGCUACUUCCUCCUGGGACGCUCAUUCACCCUCUGUUCGGACCA
ensembl:lncRNA